CUGCCACAGGAGUUAAAGCCGCGUCCCCCGUGCCCUUUGGCGGCGGCCAAGAGUCCCCCGCCGGAGCUGAUGGGGUUUCUAAUUUCUAGUCGCAGGGCGUCUGGCUGCACUUCGCAGCAGGCCGGCUGGCAGCAGCCCGUGGUACUCGGCGGCCUGGGCCUGGGGCUCCGGGCUCCUGGGAACCGGCCGGGCGGGGCGGAGGGGGCGCGGAGCACGCGCUCUCCCCUUCCGACCCAGCCGGCAGUGGCAGCCCCUGCCAGAAGAUGGCCUAUUGAACAUUUCCAGGAAUAGCACUGCCAAGCCUGUCAACUGCUUUCUUGGAAAUUCACUCAAUCAGGAUGGCGGGCCUCCAGCCGGGAGAGCACAAAGCCCGGCCUGGAGCUCGGAGCUCCGAACGGGCAACGCCCGGCUGCGGGCCGGCCGCCCCGAACCCCUGAGGAAGGGGAGCUGUGCUCGCUGGCCUCUGCAACCCCGCAGCUUCUGGAGUCGUCCGCAGCCUUUCUCCUUCUCAGUGGCGAGGGGAGCGGUCACACGUCUCUGCCAGCCUCCUGCGACUCGGUGACCUUCACAUGCUCGCUGUAGGCCUGACAUUCCUACUGAAGUUUGACAAUCCACCCCCAACCCGAACUCUCUGACCUACAGCCUUUUCCAACUUUUGGGGUGUCCCAGCGGCUGGCAGGGCUGGGGGAUGCCCCAAGAAAGUCAGCUGCCCUGAGAGGAACAGCUUGAAAAUGAAAGGGUGCCUAGAUGCCUGGAGAGUGCUGACCGCAUCCUUUGUGAGACCCAGCGCAGAAUGAAAAUACAGGCCCCUUGUUUCAAAAGUAGGAAAGAAAGGACAAAGUAGACCUAGAGAGCCUACAGACCAAAGAAGAAAAGACCAGCGAACCUGUUCUACACAAAGGCAAAUAGAACUCUUCAAAUCCAAGAUAUCCAUCUUCACUUUGGAACAUGAUGGACCCAGAGCUUGCAACACACAUAUUCCAAGGAUAAGCUGGUACAAACUCUUUUACAUGUGUUGCUUUAAAAAGAAAGAGAAGGAGAAAAAAGAGGAGAUGGAGAAAGAGAAGAGCAAAAAGUUAAAAGAAAAAAGCUUCAUGUUUCAAAAAUCUAUUACUGAAGAGGACCAAGGGAGCUGCUUGCUCUUAAAAUCCCAGUGAGGUGAUUCUGAGUCCUCUUCCACUAGCUGCCUCAGCCCCCACUCAACCCAAGAUGGAAGCAUAACACACGUUGUCAAGUGAGCACCCAGUAGGUGCUAGAAGGACGCACACGAAGAUGUGGGAAAACACAGCAAGGAUGCCAGCGGGUCCCACAGAGGAGUUGUGCUCCAGUGCACGCCACAUGCUUCAUGGGCAUAAGCCAAACCAGCACCCAGAAGGGGGGCCAUGAGGAGAAAUGUGUUUCUCAGGAAGGUUAUGGGCUGAAGUGUGUCCCCAGAAUCAUAUGUUGAAGCCCUAAACCCCAGUCCCUCAGAGUGUGACUGUAUUAUUAGAUUGGACCUUCAGAGAGCAACUCCUGGGCCUGCUCUUUAUCCCACACAGAAAGAACACACAUUCUCAGCAACGGUCAAAGCACCUUUCACUUUCUCCCACAGCAGCAACCCAUCUGAACACAUCUGAACAGCCUUUCCCUAAGGGAUGGGUUCCCAUGCCAAGCCAAAGACCUAAGGAGUUUGGGCCCUUGGUAGCUACCCACUGUUUUGGUUUGCGCUAAGCGAUAUGGUCCUCCCUGGGGGACCCCAAAGCACCACACCCAUGGAGUCUGAGAAAGGCAUGUGGUCCAAGCUCUGUCUCUAUCUUUGUCUGUCCUCUGCCUUGAGCCCCCGGUGUGAACCCUCCAGGUGUGCCAUGUACUCGCUUCAGGACCUGUGAGUCAGAAACCUGUUUCGGUUUCUCUUGCAGCUUACCUUCUCCACCCUGGGCUCCACUGAACAAAGUCAGAGCAUACAGACGGCCCCAAUCUGAGGGACAUCCUCCUACAUAACUACCCUUGAACUGUUCAAAAGACAUCAGGGGUCAUGGAAGAUAGCUAAGAAGCUAUCCCAGACUGAAGGAGACAAGAUACAACCCAUGGUAACCUGGUUCUGGACUGGAUUGUCUCGCCAUAAAGGACAUGAUUGGGACAAUUGGCACAACUCAGCUGAGGCUGAGGACUAGACUGCGGCAGUACAGCAGUGUUUCUUUCCUGACUUGGAUGGAAGCCGACCCACGAUUACACAGAACAAUGUUCUUGAUUGAAGGAAUCCCAUACGGAAGUAUUCAGGGACGAUGUGCCAUCAGACUGGUGAUUUUCUACCAAAUCUUUAGGAAAAAAGUGCAAAUCACACGGUACAAACAGUUUAUGACCUCACAAACUUAAGAAUGUCCUUCUACAUCAUUUUUAAAGGUUAACUACCUGUCUCCAGCAACCAUGAACUGUUUCUGGACAGCCCCCGUGGGGGAGCCAGCUUCUGUACCAGGAGGCCUGAAGCCCCAGCGUUGUACGCUGCCCUCCUUGAGGAAAGAGGAGGGAACCAACCGGGUGCUCCAUCCACUGUGUCACCUUUCAUGCUGGCGACAAGGGGGCAAAGCAGAUGCAGCACUGAGACAAGGACAGCCUCAGCUCUAGGAUUGCUGCGCGGAGGGGGGAGGGUUUCCCGCUCGGGCUGUGGAGUCCGUGAGCCCAGCUCAGGUUGCGUCACUCGCACGCUCACUGUGUGACACCUUGAGCAAUUUAUUUAACUUCUCUGAGGCUUAGUUUCCUUCUCUCCAAAAGGAAAGGGGUGACAAGAACGCUGGUGUGAAGUGUUGGGAAGACUGGAUUAAAUGACAUAUAUCAAGA